GGCCUGAUGGUCUAGUAGUAUGAAUAUGAUUCCUUGUUAGGGUAGCCCUGGAUCGAGGAGGUCCCGGGUUCAAUUCCCGGUUAGGCCC